UUAAAGUCCUUAUAAUUCUCGGAAUCAUGGCAUCCAAGCUCUUACUCGUCCUCGCCUUCGCUUCCAUCGCUCUCAUUCUGGUGGCAUCAGCUGCUGAUGAGUUCGACGUCGAGGUGGUGAAUGAUGACGGGUAUAAGCGAGAUCCCGACCUCAUCAUCGGAAUGGAGGAUAUGUCAAAGAGGGGAAAGAGUAAGGGAGGACGCCCAUUCGUUUUCCCUUACGGAUGGAGAUACAGUGGGAAGAAGUAAUAUCAUAAAACACGCAAAUGCAUAUGAUCGUAUCAGCACAU